rnacentral:rRNA from 1 species
AGAACGAACGCUGGCGGCAUGCCUAAUACAUGCAAGUCGAACGAACUCUUCGGAGUUAGUGGCGCACGGGUGCGUAACGCGUGGGAAUCUGCCCCUUGGUUCGGAAUAACAGUUGGAAACGACUGCUAAUACCGGAUGAUGACGAAAGUCCAAAGAUUUAUCGCCAAGGGAUGAGCCCGCGUAGGAUUAGCUAGUUGGUGAGGUAAAGGCUCACCAAGGCAACGAUCCUUAGCUGGUCUGAGAGGAUGAUCAGCCACACUGGGACUGAGACACGGCCCAGACUCCUACGGGAGCAGCAGUAGGGAAUCUUGCGCAAUGGGCGAAAGCCUGACGCAGCCAUGCCGCGUGAAUGAUGAAGGUCUUAGGAUUGUAAAAUUCUUUCACCGGGAAGAUAAUGACGGUACCUAGGAGAAGAAGCCCGCUAACUUCGUGCCAGCAGCCG